UGGAGUGUUACUUUAGCUUGGCCCCUCGCCGUUUUCCUUCUUCCCCCGACGCUAACACCUCCUCUCCCCACCACUUUCUCUGUUUCCACGUCUGCACCUAUAGCAGCCACCGAAACCUCUCGCCAGGGUCGUCUUCCUCUUCUCCUUUCCUCGCUAUUUGACUUUAGCUUGUGGGUGGAGUUGCUCCCUCCCUGCUGCCACCAUACAACCAGCCACCUGCUGCCGUCCUUUUGCCAAUUUGCCGCCAGAAUCAAGUAUCUUGCCCUCCAAAAGCUAGGAAUAGCUCCUCCCCAUCCCCGUUCCUUCGCCGGCAGCCUUCAGAGCAGCCUCCUUCCCACCGCAAUCUAGUGGUUUCGGACGAAGGCAAGGUUGUGAUUUGGUGUUUUUGGCUUCAGCUUAUUUCAAGCUUCGCGUAGCCGCUUCGGGAUUCGAAUUCCAACACUGUUGGCGGUACCGGUUUCCAAAACCUGAUUUUUUUCGAACGCAAAAUUUCAGAUUUUUGUAUCGUAUAAUUUUUUUGAACUCGAAAAAUUAUUUAAAAUUAUUAAAAAAUAUUUGGUGUAUUAAUUGUUAAAUUUUAAUAAUUAAUAAAAUUAUUUAAUUAAUUAGUAGCUUGAUCCUAGAAAUACUAUAGAUUAAUUAUCGAAAAAAUUAUUAUUUUGUUGUGUAAAUUGAGGCUGUUGGAUCGUAAAAUAAUAUUAUUUUGCCAAACUGUUAAUUAUGGUAUUGUGAUCUGGGUUGUGUCGUUGAGUCGAAAAAAAUAAUGCAGCUUUGGUAGCUGAAUCCUCUUAAUUAAAUGUGAAAUAUUUGAAUUAUUUUUUAUCAGGUUUUGAACCCGUUAUACAAGGAGUAAAUGUCCAUAUUUUAAGGAAAGUUCUGCCGUAUUUUUAAGUCAGGAUCAGUCGGAAUUUCUUAAACAGGCUAAUCUAGGAGUUUAGGCCUAUGAAAAAUUAUGAAUAUUUUAUUAAUUUAAUUAUUUUCGUAAAUAGAGAAUCCGUCAGUCCAGCCAACUCCAUCCGAAAUGUAGGAGCAGAACAGCGAAACUCGGCAGAACUAUGAGUUACAAUUAUAUAUUCUACCGCAUGUGUCAUAUCUGCAUUUAAAUGAAAUUCCUAAAUGAAUAAUUAUUAUAGUUAUUUUAGUAGUAUAAGUAUUAUUAAAUUUAUUUUAUUUUCAUUAUCAUUAACAUUAUUAAUAUUAAUAUUAUUAUUGUUGUUAUUAUUAUUAUUCUUCUUAUUAUUAUUAUUUGUGCUAUAACAUUUAUUAUCAUCUCAAUUAUUAGUAUUAUUGUUAUUAUCAUUGUUGAUGUUGUUUAAAUAUUAUUAAUUUUAUAAACUUGUAUUACUUCACUGCACUGCUAUUACUACCGUGAUUGUUGAGUAUCAUGUUGCAUGUAAUAUUACUGAUGUUAAUGUUUUGUAGCUCUAGAUGAGGCAACAGUAAAACAUGCCACCCAUGACUACAUCAGGACUGUGUGUGCACCGGUAUAAAUAUGAGUAAGAUAAUAGAGGAAUAUUCGAUGAUGUGCCCUGGUCGAGCACAAUUCUCUAGGUCUAUGGAAGUGUGAUUUGCUGAAAAAAGAUCCAUGGUCAAACAUUGUUUUCUAAGCGCCGGCUAUAUUGGUAUUUAAGUGACCAGACUGGACUUAAUGACCUUGGUCGAGCCUUGCUCUCUGGGCGUCAGUAUUAU
rnacentral:lncRNA from 1 species